AAAUAGCCGUCUGAAGAGCCACCAUCUUUAUGGUGCACCGAAGGAGCAAGUCCUAAGCUAGGCUUAGAGUGAAUCUCUCAGGUAUCAAGGACAGGGGGAGCGGC
rnacentral:ncRNA from 2 species